rnacentral:misc_RNA from 1 species
UAAACAAUAAUGAGCCUACUGCUAUUGCAGUCGAAGCUUGUACAAAAAAAUCAUCCCAAAAAUGUGAGAAAAGUGUGUUAACAGAACCCGUUGUAAUAGUUGAAAAAUCAGUCCAGUGUCAUUUUAUAAAUAAAGUGCGUACGAGAAGCAAGAGAGUGCAAACUAAGUCCCUAACAAGAGAUACAGCUAUUUCUCCUCUCAAUACUACUGCUAGCUACUCCAUCAAAGGUGUCUGAAUCCAGUACAAGCAUUACAUGGACAAAUGAAGAUGUUGAAAAAAUGAAAUGUAUGCAGAAUACUUUGCACUUAAUAGUAAAAAAGCCAAUGAUGUAUAUUGGAAUCCCUGUUGACUGCUAUUUUUUUAGUUCAUUUAAUACAUAAACACACCCGCAUACCACAU